GGAGGUAUAGCUCAGUUGGUUUAGAGCGUUUGGUUUACACCCAAAAGGUCAUAGGUUCGAAUCCUAUUAUCUCCA
rnacentral:tRNA from 1 species